rnacentral:rRNA from 1 species
UACGUAGGGUCCAAGCGUUGUCCGGAUUCAUUGGGCGUAAAGAGCUCGUAGGCGGUUUGGAAAGUCGGAAGUUAAAUCCCCAGGCUCAACCUGGAUUCGCUUCCGAUACUUCUAUGACUUGAGUCUGGUAGGGGAUCACGGAAUUCCUGGUGUAGCGGUGAAAUGCGCAGAAUAUCAGGAGGAACACCGAUGGCGGAAAGGCC